rnacentral:tRNA from 1 species
UUCCUGGUAGCUUAAAGGUAAAGCGUAUGGCUGUUAACCAUUAGGUUGUAGGUUCGAAUCCUAUCCAGGAAG